rnacentral:lncRNA from 10 species
CCUGCUCAGCUUGCUGGCUACACAAAGAUAAAGACAUUUACAGGGUCUAGUUUGAGGCACUAAGGAGGAUAAUGCAUCCGUUUGAAAAGAGUCCUUAUAAGAGAAACAUGGAUUCUGCUAAAAUUCAAGCAAGAACAGACAUCACAUUUGUGGUGAAGCUUGGGUGGAAGAAUGGUAACAUCACUGAUGCUUUACAAAAAGUUUAUGGAGAAAAUUCUUCAAGUGAUAAUUUUACAAAUGAAUAACUUGUUUUAGGAAAGGACAGGGCCGUGUGAGGUGGCUCACGCUUAUAAUCCCAGCACUUUGAGAGGCCAAGGAUGAUUGCUUGAGGCCAAGAGUUUGAGACCAGCUUAGGCAACAAAGUGAGACCCUUUCUCUACAAAAAAUAGAACAUUUACCUGGGUGCGGUGGUGCAUGCCUACAGUCUGAGCUACUUGGGAGGCUGAGGCAGGAGGAUUGCUUAAGCCCAGGAGUUUGAGCCUGCAGAGAGUUACAAUGGUGCUACUGCACUCCGACAUGGGUGACAGAGUGAGACCCUGUCUCUUAAAAGGAAAAGGAAAAGAAAGGACAACAUUGUUGAAGAUGAAGCCUGCAGCAGCAGACUAUCCACAUCAAUUUGCAAGGAAAAAAUUUUCUUGUUCAUACCCUAAUCAACAAUACAAACAAUAGCCAUCAUCAUAGACAAAGGAACAUCAUUAUUAGGACUGAAAAUUAACAGCACAAACAAUAGCCAACAUUCUCGACAUUUCAACUGGUUCAGUUUACACAAUUCUGACUAAAAAAUUAAAGUUGAACAAGCUUCCCGCUCAAUGGGUACCAAAACAGUUGUGCCUGGGUCAGCUGUGGACAAAAGCCGAGCUUUCCGUGGAAAUUUUAAAUACAUAGGAUCAAGAUCCUGAAGCAUUUCUUCAGACUAGUAACGGGAGAUGAAACAUGGCUUUACCAGUAUGGUCCUGAAGACAAGGCACAAUCAAAGCAAUGGCUACCAAGAGGUGAACGUGGUGCAGUCAAAGCAAAAGACGAUGGGUCAAGAGCUGAGGUUAUGGCAACAGUUUUUUGGGAUGCUCAAGGCAUUUUGCUUGUUGAUGUUCUGGACAAUAACAUCUGACUAUUAUGAGAGCAUUUUGAGAAAGCUAGCAAAAGUUUUAGCAGAAAAACUCCUGGAAGAGCUUCACCAGAGAGUCUUUCUCUACCAUGACAAUGCUGCUGCUCAUUCCUCUCAGCAAACAAGGUCAAUCUUGCAAGAGUUUUGAUGAGACAUCAUUAGGUGCCUAUCCUCCAGUCCUGAUUUGGCUCCAUCUGACUUCUUUCUGUUUUCUAUUCUUAAAAAAAUCUUUAAAGAUCACCCAUUUUUCCUCAGUUAAUAACAUAGAAAAGACAACAUGAACAUGGUUAAAUUCCCAGGACCCUCAGUUCUUUAGGGAUGGACAAAAUGGUUGGUAUCAUCACUUAGAAAAGUAUCUUGAACUUGAUGAAGCUUAUGUUGGGAAAUAAAGUUUAUAUUAUUUAUUUAUUUAUUUAUUUAUUUAUUUAUUUAUUUAUUUAAGACAGAGUCUGGCUCUGUCGGCCAGGCUGGAAUGCAGUGGCACGAUCUUGGCUCACUGCAAUCUCCACCUCCUGGGCACAAAUGAUUCUUGUGCCUCAGCCUCCCGAGAAGCUGGGAUUACAGGCACACACCACCACACCUGGCUAAUUUUUGUAUUUUUAGUAGAGAUGGGGUUUCACCAUGUUGGCCAGGCUGGUAUUUUUAUCUUUUAAUUCUUUUUUUUUUUUUUUUUUGAGACGGAGUCUUGCUCUGUCGUUUAGGCUGGACUGCAGUGGCAUGAUCUUGGCUCACUGCAACAUCUGCCUCCCAGGUUCAAGUGAUUCUCCUACAUCAGCAUCCUGAGUAGCUGGGAUUACAGGUGUGCACCAUCAUGCCUGGCUAAUUUUUGUAUUUUUAGUAGAGACCGGGUCUCACCUUGUUGGCCAGGCUGGUCUUGAACUCCUGACCUUAGGUAAUCCUCCUGCCUUGGCCUCCCAAAGUGCUAGGAUUACAGGCGUGAGUCACCGUGCCUGGCCCCCAUGACCUUUUCGAAGUCCCCUAGUAUGCCUUUACACCCAUUUCUAGAAUGAUUCCCAACAUUCCUUCAUUUAUUCCUUUAUUUAUUGAAUAAAUAAUUAUUAAAUGCUUGUCAUGUAUGUUCCAGGCUUUGCUCUAGUAAUUUCGGAUAUAUCAAUGAACAAAGCAGGAAAGAAAAAAAAAAAAGGCAAAAUCUCUGCCUUCCGGGAGCUCACAUUCCCACAGGAGUCACAGGAAACAGCCAAUGACCAGUAAGCAUCACAAAGAAGUCAUGCCAAAGAACCAGACAAAUAGCUGGAAGGAAGAGGGGAACUCCUUUGUGACGCCAAAUGGGCCAAAGGGUCGCUGGGAAAACUAAGCCUUACUGUCCAUCUUGCCUUCAGGAUAAUGUGAAAUAUGGCCUAAUUUUUGAAGUUUUUUUCUUAGAAAUUUUACUGAAUCCAAAAUAAAACAAGAAGAUCAUGAGUCCAGAAUUCUCUUUUCUCAACACUAGAUGGCAGUAGAGUUAAAGAAAAAAAUCCCAGCAGUUCUUUGUACAGGGAUUUGGUGAUUUUUCCCAUAAAGCUGCGAUGAGGAUGAACUCAGAGCAAAAUCUAUCUAGAAUGUGAAAUAAUACCUGUGGCUGAAAAGAAGCUCUUUUGACCCAGGAUCCUGGUCCUCUGCAUAACAGUCAAGACCAUUCUCAUUUGCCUGAAAGUGUUUUAGAGAAGAAAGAGAAAUUCAGGACCAAUCAGCAAUUCCCUUUUCCACUCUUAUGAAGAAAGAAAAAGGAUUUGUGUUAUUUGAGAUUUAAGUUACUUCCUUUUUUCCUAUGACAGGUUUUGGUAAAUGCCCAGCUCCAAUAAUACGUUAACAUUUUCAGAGUCAAUCUGGGUUAUAAGUAAAUAAACUCCAUUUUGAUCUUG